UACGUAGGGGGCAAGCGUUAUCCGGAAUUACUGGGUGUAAAGGGAGCGUAGACGGCGGUGCAAGCCAGAUGUGAAAUCCCGGGGCUUAACCCCGGAACUGCUUUCAAAACUGCUGGUCUUGAGUGAUGGAGAGGCAGGCGGAAUUCCGUGUGUAGCGGUGAAAUGCGUAGAUAUACGGAGGAACACCAGUGGCGAAGGCGGCCUGCUGGACAUUAACUGACGCUGAGGAGCGAAAGCGUGGGGAGCAAACAGG
rnacentral:rRNA from 1 species